CACGUAGGGUGCGAGCGUUGUCCGGAAUUAUUGGGCGUAAAGAGCUCGUAGGCGGUGUGUCGCGUCGGCCGUGAAAACCUGCAGCUUAACUGUGGGCUUGCGGUCGAUACGGGCAUCACUGGAGUUCGGCAGGGGAGACUGGAAUUCCUGGUGUAGCGGUGAAAUGCGCAGAUAUCAGGAGGAACACCGGUGGCGAAGGCGGGUCUCUGGGACGGUACUGACGCUGAGACGCGAAAGCGUGGGGAGCGAACCGG
rnacentral:rRNA from 1 species